UACGUAGGGUGCAAGCGUUGUCCGGAAUUAUUGGGCGUAAAGGGCUCGUAGGCGGUCUGUUGCGUCAGGAGUGAAAACUCGGGGCUUAACCCCGAGCCUGCUUCUGAUACGGGCAGACUAGAGGUAUGCAGGGGAGAACGGAAUUCCUGGUGUAGCGGUGGAAUGCGUAGAGAUCCGGAAGAACACCGGUGGCGAAGGCGGUGAGCUGGGCAGUAGCUGACACUGAGGCGCGACAGCGUGGGGAGCAAACAGG
rnacentral:rRNA from 1 species